rnacentral:rRNA from 1 species
ACGAACGCUGGCGGCGUGCUUAACACAUGCAAGUCGAACGAGAGGACAAGAGAAGCUUGCUUCUUUUGGAAUCGAGUGGCAAACGGGUGAGUAACACGUAAACAACCUGCCUUCAGGACGGGGACAACAGACGGAAACGACUGCUAAUACCGAAUACGCUUGGGAGACCGCAUGAUCUACCAAGGAAAGGGUGGCCUCUACCUGUAAGCUAUCGCCUGAAGAGGGGUUUGCGUCUGAUUAGGCAGUUGGUGAGGUAACGGCCCACCAAACCUACGAUCAGUAGCCGGUCUGAGAGGAUGAACGGCCACACUGGAACUGAGACACGGUCCAGACUCCUACGGGAGGCAGCAGUGGGGAAUCUUCCGCAAUGGGCGAAAGCCUGACGGAGCAACGCCGCGUGAGUGAUGACGGCCUUCGGGUUGUAAAGCUCUGUGAUCGGGGACGAACGGUCCGUAAGCUAAUACCUUAUGGAAGUGACGGUACCCGAAUAGCAAGCCACGGCUAACUACGUG